rnacentral:rRNA from 1 species
UACGGAGGGUGCAAGCGUUGCUCGGAAUUAUUGGGCGUAAAGGGUAGGUAGGUGGUCUCGUUUGUCUGGGGUGAAAUCCUUGAGCUUAACUCAAGAAGUGCCUCAGAAACGGCGAGACUAGAGUUCUGGAGAGGGUCGUGGAAUUCCCGGUGUAGCGGUGAAAUGCGUAGAUAUCAAGCGGAACACCGGUGGCGAAGGCGGCGACCUGGGCCAAUAUUGACGCUGAGGUGCGAAAGCGUGGGGAGCAAACAGG